CGCACCUUCGUCCGUCCGCGCCCCCGCUUGUCAGUCUCCGCGUCAUCGUCCGCCCGCACACUCGCCCGCAGGGCCAUGUCCUUCGUCCGCCCGCCCGCGUCGGCCCACGUCGCUCCUUCCUCGAUCCUUCGUCCGCCCGAUCGCACCCAACGACACUUCAUCCAAACCCUAGCGCUGAUGGCCAUGGCCCCCGCCGCCCGCGCAUCGACACCGGCAUGAGGCGAAUCGAGGCGCCCCUCUACCCUGCGCGUGCCCUCGAAUGCGUGGACGGCCUGCCCACCUCGGCGGGUUCGAUCCCCAAUAAUAUGGCCCGUCAAUGGCAAGAACCGCAUCCGUGGGACGCCGAGUCGUUCGUUUGCUUGAGCAAGUUUCGGUCUUCCGGCACACGCGCACCAUUUGCUAGCUCAAGGAAGCCGGCAGGGAGGGCAGUGCAGCCGUGCUUGGCGUCGAUUGCAGCACAUCCACCUUGACGAAAGGCAGAUAGUGGACGGCAAGCAAAUCCACUAUCCAAUGCAUCGGCUGGGUCUGCGGACAUGGCCGGGGGCUCCCCCCAAUCCUCCUCUGCCAUCGCGUCGCCGUCCCUUGCCCCCUUUCCUCCUUUACCCUGAUGCCUUCUCUAGGUUCUUUUUUUUUUUUUGGUUGGAAUGAUGUUUUCUUGAUGGCAGCAAAGGCUUCAAAAGUGGAGAAUCAAGAUUGAUCGAUUCUUCUACUGCUCCCAUGUUGCCAUAUCUUUAUGGUUCAUUUUUUAUUUAAUGAACCAUGUUCUGUAUGUAUAUGUCCAGCAUAUGAUUUAUUUAUGGCGAAGUGUGUCAAUGAUCAGGAGAGAAAUCAAGGAGCAGGGUCUGAAGAUGAUCAGUGGUUUCACUUGGAUUGCUAAUCUAGAAUUGUUUGGGGAGACACAGGAAUAGCUCUGCUCACCAUAUUAGGCUGCAUCUUACUAUUACGAUCUUUGGCUGGUUGGUCUUUAUAUCAAGUUGUUUCCUACUGUAUUCUUUUCUAAGAAAAGUAUUCGGUUAACUUCAUUGAGGAAUUAGAUAGUUAUUUCUAUAUUGAUAAAUCAAAUACCUUAUAUAUGUGUUUACUAAACAUAAUUCUCCUCUUAGUUGCCUUAUGAAAUUUCUUUGUUCUUCCAAAUGCAAUGUCAAGUUUUGAACAUAGAUUUGCUUUGAAUCAUUGUUAACUGAUGAACCGUAGGUAGGCUGCCAUAUUGAUGUGAAAUUUCAGAGGGCAAUGCAAGAAAAGGACUCAAUUGCUGGACCAACCAUUUCUGUUCUGAAGUUGUCUUUGUUCACUGUUUAUAUAUCAUGGGAGAAAACGAGUAUGAAGCCCUAUACGUUGUUUUGUGCUUCCUAUAAUUACUAAUUACUUCUUAUGUUGUGCGAAGAAUAAUCAUUUAGUUCAUCAUAUCUAAAUUGUUGCAUUAGUUUCUGGUUGUUGCCCGUGAUUGGCAAAGAUUUAAUCUGUCGAGUCUGCUGCCAAUGUUGCUCCAAUAUAUAUCAUCAGGCAACAAUCAUCUUAUGGCAAGUUCCAUGAUGUUUAAUUAGUUCCUUGGUCUUUGGAUGUGUUGACGAGAACUAAAAUAACCCUUUAUGUGAAUGAAGUUUGCAGUAAUGUAAAUUUUGCAAUAAUGAGCUUCGACAUUCUACAAGCAGAUGGGCUUUAGGGUGCUUUUUUGCAUGAGCGAGGUGUUGUGGCAGGAAAGGACAGUGGCAUCCACUUAGCAUUAUUGUUUCGCCAUGCAGGGUUUUCUUUCCUGUUAAGAUUCUGGUUUCUACCGACCGCAUACGAGUGAAGUUGAAUGCACAUGGUAAUGGGUCAGAAGUCAGAACUACUGAAGUUCCCAUCUUUUCUUCAAAUUAUUUGCAUUCAUGCACUAGUUGGGAGGCACGUCAUCGACGGCUUCAGGGGGUUCAUGCCCAGUGCCGGGGACAUGCGGACCAUCAAGUGAAAUGCCUACAGGGGCUGCUGCAGUUUCAACUGCAUGGACAACAGGCAACGACGCUACUCCUCCCAGCACUGCGCGUCCUAAUGCACCCACCUGUUGUGGGGAAGAGACAGGUCCGAAUGAGCUAGGCCGGGGAGGAUGUCGCCGCGCCGGGGGGCCACCGCGCCAACGCCCUGCGCUAUUAGCAAGACCGACUGCACCAGACCUGGAGUUCUCUGCACUGGUGGAGGUGGAUCAGAGGCUUGAGGGCAGAUCUGGACGGGAAUGAUCGCGAAGGUGUGCGGGAAAAAGUUUGUGGGAAGCAGAGGUUUCCAAAAUUGAAGCGCUGAUGAUUGGGUAAAGGUUAAGGUGUGACAGAGAAUAUCAUGAUUUGUAGAACCGUAAUUUGUGGAUCCAUGAUUUGUGGAGGGGGAUCCCUAUGGGAUUUUUUGGGUGGAUGUAGAAAUAUGAGGAGUGCAGUGAAGGUGUCUCGGCCGUUAGAUGCAAUGUUUGGCUCAUGAAACAAAUACUAUUUGUUGGAUGCAAUUAAUGAGAAUUAAUCUGAGGGUGUUUAUUGUUCUGUGUA